rnacentral:rRNA from 1 species
UACAGAGGUCUCAAGCGUUGUUCGGAUUCAUUGGGCGUAAAGGGCACGUAGGCGGCCAGCACAAGUCAGUUGUGAAAUCUCCGAGCUUAACUCGGAAAGGUCAACUGAUACUGUGCGGCUAGAGUGCGGAAGGGGCAACUGGAAUUCUUGGUGUAGCGGUGAAAUGCGUAGAUAUCAAGAGGAACACCUGCGGCGAAGGCGGGUUGCUGGGCCGACACGUGACGCUGAUGCGCGAAAGCUAGGGGAGCGAACGGG